rnacentral:rRNA from 1 species
CAAGUAAUUAAGUGCAUGUGGUGGAUGCCUUGGCAGUCAGAGGCGAUGAAAGACGUGAUAGCCUGCGAAAAGCUCCGGGGAGGCGGCAAAUAUCCUUUGAUCCGGAGAUGUCUGAAUGGGGGAACCCACCUACUUUAAGGUAGGUAUUGCAACAUGAAUACAUAGUGUUGCAAGGCGAACGAGGGGAAGUGAAACAUCUCAGUACCCUUAGGAAAAGAAAUCAAUUGAGAUUCCCUCAGUAGCGGCGAGCGAACGGGGAUCAGCCCAUUAAGUUAUGUGUGUUUUAGUGGAACGCUCUGGGAAGUGCGAACGUAGAGGGUGAUAUUCCCGUACACGAAAGGGCACACAUAAUGAUGACGAGUAGGGCGAGGCACGUGAAACCUUGUCUGAAUAUGGGGGGACCAUCCUCCAAGGCUAAAUACUCCUGACUGACCGAUAGUGAACCAGUACCGUGAGGGAAAGGCGAAAAGAACCCCUGUGAGGGGAGUGAAAUAGAUCCUGAAACCGCAUGCAUACAAGCAGUGGGAGCACCUUCGUGGUGUGACUGCGUACCUUUUGUAUAAUGGGUCAGCGACUUAUAUUCAGUAGCGAGGUUAACCGUAUAGGGGAGCCGUAGAGAAAUCGAGUCUUAAUAGGGCGUUUAGUUGCUGGGUAUAGACCCGAAACCAGGCGAUCUAUCCAUGAGCAGGUUGAAGGUUGGGUAACACUAACUGGAGGACCGAACCCACUGUCGUUGAAAAGCCAGGGGAUGACUUGUGGAUAGGGGUGAAAGGCUAAUCAAGCCUGGUGAUAGCUGGUUCUCCCCGAAAGCUAUUUAGGUAGCGCCUCGGACGAAUACCAUAGGGGGUAGAGCACUGUUUCGGCUAGGGGGUCAUCCCGACUUACCAAACCGAUGCAAACUCCGAAUACCUAUGAGUACUAUCCGGGAGACAGACUGCGGGUGCUAACGUCCGUAGUCAAGAGGAAAACAAUCCAGACCGCCAGCUAAGGCCCCAAAAUCAUAGUUAAGUGGGAAACGAUGUGGGAAGGCAUAGACAGCUAGGAGGUUGGCUUAGAAGCAGCCACCCUUUAAAGAAAGCGUAAUAGCUCACUAGUCGAGUCGGCCUGCGCGGAAGAUGUAACGGGGCUAAAACUAUGUGCCGAAGCUGCGGAUGUAUACUUUGUAUACGUGGUAGGGGAGCGUUCUGUAAGCCGAUGAAGGUGUGUUGAGAAGCAUGCUGGAGGUAUCAGAAGUGCGAAUGCUGACGUGAGUAACGACAAAACGGGUGAAAAACCCGUUCGCCGAAAGACCAAGGGUUCCAGUCCAACGUUAAUCGGGGCUGGGUGAGUCGACCCCUAAGGCGAGGCCGAAAGGCGUAGUCGAUGGGAAAAUGGUUAAUAUUCCAUUACUUCUGUGUAAUGCGAUGAGAGGACGGAGAAGGCUAAAUCAGCCUGGCGUUGGUUGUCCAGGUGAAAGGAUGUAGGCAUGUAUCUUAGGCAAAUCCGGGGUACUCUAUGCUGAGAUCUGAUAGCAAGCUGUACUUGUACAGCGAAGUGGUUGAUGCCAUGCUUCCAGGAAAAGUCUCUAAGCUUCAGUUACACAGGAAUCGUACCCGAAACCGACACAGGUGGUCAGGUCGAGUAGACCAAGGCGCUUGAGAGAACUCUGCUGAAGGAACUAGGCAAAAUGGUACCGUAACUUCGGGAGAAGGUACGCUGUUGUUGGUGAUGGAACUCGCUUCCUGAGCUGACGACAGCCGCAGAAACCAGGCCGCUGCAACUGUUUAUUAAAAACAUAGCACUCUGCAAACACGAAAGUGGACGUAUAGGGUGUGAUGCCUGCCCGGUGCUGGAAGGUUAAUUGAUGGGGUUAGCGUAAGCGAAGCUCUUGAUCGAAGCCCCAGUAAACGGCGGCCGUAACUAUAACGGUCCUAAGGUAGCGAAAUUCCUUGUCGGGUAAGUUCCGACCUGCACGAAUGGCAUAAUGAUGGCGGCGCUGUCUCCAGCAGAGGCUCAGUGAAAUCGAAAUCGCUGUGAAGAUGCAGUGUACCCGCGGCUAGACGGAAAGACCCCGUGAACCUUUACUGCAGCUUGACACUGAACUUUGACCUUACUUGUGUAGGAUAGGUGGGAGGCUUUGAAGCUGGAACGCUAGUUCCAGUGGAGCCGUCCUUGAAAUACCACCCUGGUAAUGUUGAGGUUCUAACUCUGUCCCGUGAUCCGGGACGAGGACCGUGUCUGGUGGGUAGUUUGACUGGGGCGGUCUCCUCCUAAAGAGUAACGGAGGAGUACGAAGGUGCGCUCAGCGUGGUCGGAAAUCACGCGUAGAGUAUAAAGGCAAAAGCGCGCUUAACUGCGAGACCCACAAGUCGAGCAGGUACGAAAGUAGGUCUUAGUGAUCCGGUGGUUCUGUAUGGAAGGGCCAUCGCUCAACGGAUAAAAGGUACUCUGGGGAUAACAGGCUGAUACCGCCCAAGAGUUCAUAUCGACGGCGGUGUUUGGCACCUCGAUGUCGGCUCAUCUCAUCCUGGGGCUGAAGCAGGUCCCAAGGGUAUGGCUGUUCGCCAUUUAAAGAGGUACGCGAGCUGGGUUUAGAACGUCGUGAGACAGUUCGGUCCCUAUCUACCGUGGGCGCUGGAAAUUUGAGAGGAUCUGCUCCUAGUACGAGAGGACCAGAGUGGACGAACCUCUGGUGUACCGGUUGUGACGCCAGUCGCAUCGCCGGGUAGCUAUGUUCGGAAGGGAUAACCGCUGAAAGCAUCUAAGCGGGAAGCCUACCUCAAGAUAAGAUUUCCCUAGGACUUUAUGUCCUCUAAAGAGCCGUUCGAGACUAGGACGUUGAUAGGUUGGAUGUGGAAGCAUAGUGAUAUGUGAAGCUGACCAAUACUAAUUGCUC